rnacentral:rRNA from 1 species
UACGUAGGGUGCGAGCGUUAAUCGGAAUUACUGGGCGUAAAGCGUGCGCAGGCGGUGAGCUGUGUCCGAUGUGAAAGCCCCGGGCUUUAACCUGGGAAUGGCAUUGGAAACUGGCUCGCUGGAGUGUGGCAGAGGGGGGUGGAAUUCCGCGUGUAGCAGUGAAAUGCGUAGAGAUGCGGAGGAACACCGAUGGCGAAGGCAGCCCCCUGGGCUGAACACUGACGCCUCAGGCACGAAAGCGUGGGGAGCAAACAGG